CCUCAAACACUUUAUAGGAGGAGCUUCUUAUAUAGAGAUCGUCAUCAUCAUAUUUAUAAAAAGAAAAACCUUCAUGAUUUACAUCUGUGUGCUGUAACCAUAUACAUUUUCUAAAAUAUUUUCUGUAGUGCUUUCUGGUUUCUGUAUUUGUUAUUUUAUGGUUUCGUGACUUAAAGCAGGUUGCACAUGGUUCCCACUUCCAUAUUAACAUCUGCAUCUUUACAGGUGUGAGACGAUCAGGAAGAGGGUUACUUGUGUCUCCAUGUGGAUAGAUAAAAGCAAGGAACUCCGGUUUGGAUCCUGGAUACUGACGAUACCAGUGCAGCUCUUGGUUACCUCUUGUGCUGUUCUUCUCUUGAUGAUUCAAGUCUUCAAGCUCUCACAUGCCACCUGAAUCCCUGAAGACACCUUGAGGGAUGCUGCCUCCCUGUGGUGAAUUUAUAUGUUUCUAACUAACAUUUUUAUCCAAAUUGAAUUGCAAAUGUGAAACACAAUCAGAAACAAUAAACUAAAGCAGUAAUAUAAUACACAUAACGUUAUCAGAUUUCUGCAACACUAGAGUAGUGUCUCGUAGACAUGCUUCCAGAGGUGGCAAGUUUUGCAGCUUCCGAUGCACCUUCAACCUUUGUUUGAAGUCUCAUAUUCUGGUGGAUGGUAUUCUCAGAUUUAUAGAUUUAAUUUAGAAAACCAUUUACCAUUUGAAUAACAAUUUAAAAUGGAAGAAA